ACCUCGCGGUAGACGGCCGUGGCGGGUGUCACGAGCCCGUAGUUGUCAUCGCAGCCAGCGGCGCCCGCUGAGCCGCCCAGGACUCCCGGGAGAGAGGCGCUGCAAGAGCCGCCGGUGGUGCCCGAGCCCCCCUCGCCAGAGCGGCCUUCGCUGACCAAGUCGAGGACAAGGAACUUCUGGAGUGCCAUGAUGACCUUGAAGGUGACAAUCCAUUCCUGGAAUAUCAUGACAGCUCCCAUGUGACAGAGUGAAAGCGGUACGCCAGAUCCACCACCCAGAUGGCAGGAUGCUUACAGAAGGACAGACAAUACAGUGCAGAUGAUUCCAGUGGGCAGCAAGUGUUGAGAGGCACCAAACUGGGCCACAGACUUAAAAGGUGACCCUAAGUAAACGGACAGGUGUGGAACGGACCAUGAGAAGCUGAGCCUGGAGAGAUGGCUCAGCAGUUAAGAGCACUGACUGCUCUUCCAGAAGACCUGAGUUCCGUUCCCAGCAGCGUGGCUCACAACCAUAUGAAAUUGAAUCAGAUGCCUUCCAAUGGUUACCUGAACUGCAGAUGGAUGUGUGCCAAAGACAGAAGAGAAACCUCUUCAGUGCCACUGUCUAUGACAGCCCUACAUCCUUUAGUGGCGAGUUAAGGGGACAUGUUAAAAUGCAUUCCUGCAACAAAGUUCCACCUGUGCGUGAACACUCAAUACCAUGGACCAGUGGUGACACAUGGAUAGCCGGUGACCAUGUGGUGGCUGUCAUUUGUCUUUAUAAAGUAGUCUUAUGUGACUGGAGCUCAUGGAGUGGUGGCAUAUGCAGUGUCCGGGACACAGGAGGAAUGCUUUCCUCAGAACGCCAGUUACACAUGUUUCUUAACUUGAGUGGAGGUGGGAGGCAGGUGUGUUCUCUUGGGAACUCUUCCACCUGUGCACUUUGGUGCACUUCUUGAGUGUUGAUCUUACAUAUUUUUAAUAAAAAAAAUUGAAAGUG
rnacentral:lncRNA from 1 species